GCAACUGCCCCUGAUUGGCUUAGCUGCCCAUCUGGUGGAAGAGCCUAAAUAAACUUUUUUGUCUUUCUUUUUUCUUUUUUUUUCUGUCCUGGCUGCAUUAAUAUGAUAAUACGCCAAUCAUUACCAAAGUUAAAUCAAAUUAAGUCGCUACAUCAACCAAUACGGCCCUCGGAGAUGCCCUCUGCCCCCAGUCACGUGACUUUGACAUUCUCACACACGGAGAACCGCAAAGGAACGAGGGAAAGCUAAACCCUUCUGCCUUCACGCGUAGGGAGGAGGGGCCUGAGAGGAAGGACAAAGAGAGCAUGGUUACGGGUAAUUUACAUAAGCAACUGGCAAGACACAGCAUCUCCACGGGAAUCCUCACAGAUGUGUUAAAACCGCAUAUCUGCAAUGUCUUUCUCAAGUUCACCUGGAACCUCCAAAUCUCAAUGAGAUUAGAAGAUGGAAACCACUCAUAGCGGAUGGGUAGCUAAGGUUAGCACAAAAACUGGAAACGGGGGCCAACAGCUAGCCUGGUUCAGUCCAAAGAAGCACAAUAUGACAACGGGGGACAAGGGGAAACAAGGCAGUUGUUUCACAAUGAUGACAUCACAAUCACAGGUGCUUAAAGGCCAACAGAGAGAGGGACGAGUGAACAGGAGACGUAUCAGGUAAUC